UACGUAGGGUGCAAGCGUUGUCCGGAAUUAUUGGGCGUAAAGAGCUCGUAGGCGGUGUGUCGCGUCUGCUGUGAAAACUCAGGGCUCAACUCUGAGCUUGCAGUGGGUACGGGCACACUUGAGUGCUGUAGGGGAGACCGGAAUUCCUGGUGUAGCGGUGAAAUGCGCAGGAUAUCAGGAGGAACACCGGUGGCGAAGGCGGGUCUCUGGGCAGUUGACUGACGCUGAGGAGCGAAAGCAUGGGGAGCGAACAGGA
rnacentral:rRNA from 1 species